UGCUAAAGAUAGCUCAGUUGGUAGAGCAGGGCUCCCCAGGGUCUCUAGCUGUUGUUGGGCUACAACUCCCAACCUCCAGGUAUAGGGUGGUAUAUAAAUAAAAUAAAUAAAAUCAUCCCUAGCUAGCAGAACCAGUGGUCAGGGAUGAUGGGAAUUGUAGUCCACAAGCAGCUGGAGACCCAAGUUUGGGAAACCCUGCAGUAGAGCCUGAGUUGUGGGUUCGAGCCCCACAUUGGGCAA